rnacentral:rRNA from 1 species
UACGGAGGGGACUAGCGUUGUUCGGAAUUACUGGGCGUAAAGCGCGUGUAGGCGGUUCCGCAAGUCAGGUGUGAAAGCCCAGGGCUCAACCCUGGAAGUGCACUUGAUACUACGGAGCUUGAGUACUGAAGAGGAGAGCGGAAUUCCCGGUGUAGAGGUGAAAUUCGUAGAUAUCGGGAGGAACACCAGUGGCGAAGGCGGCUCUCUGGGCAGAUACUGACGCUGAGACGCGAAAGCUGGGGAGCAAACAGG